rnacentral:rRNA from 1 species
UACGGAGGAUGCGAGCGUUAUCCGGAUUUAUUGGGUUUAAAGGGUGCGUAGGCGGAUUUUUAAGUCAGCGGUAAAAUGUCCGGGCUCAACCCGGGCCGGCCGUUGAAACUGGGGAUCUUGAGUGGGCGAGAAGUAUGCGGAAUGCGUGGUGUAGCGAUGAAAUGCCUAGAUAUCACGCAGAACUCCGAUUGCGAAGGCAGCAUACCGGCGCCCGACUGACGCUGAGGCACGAAAGCGUGGGGAGCAAACAGG